UACGUAGGGUCCGAGCGUUGUCCGGAAUUAUUGGGCGUAAAGGGCGCGUAGGCGGUGCGGUAAGUCACCUGUGAAACCUCUAGGCUUAACCUAGAGCCUGCAGGCGAAACUGCCGUGCUGGAGUGUGGGAGAGGUGCGUGGAAUUCCCGGUGUAGCGGUGAAAUGCGUAGAUAUCUGCAGGAACACCCGUGGCGAAAGCGGCGCGCUGGACCACUACUGACGCUGAGGAACGAAA
rnacentral:rRNA from 1 species